GCAUCAUUACCGCACCCUCCCCUGUGCAACCCUGGUUAGCCUCUCAUAAGAAACACAAUACAGGGAGGGUGUCCUAGUCUCCCAGAGGUCCGGAUGGGUUCCCCAAAAUGAGAGGGUCUCCCAAACAUUCUGAGCUGUGAGUAAUAAUGGAUUCAGAACCUCCGACUUCGUCCUCUACAGCUAUAAGUGGUGUAAGUUCGAGGCAGAAAGACAAGAUUUUUCUGAUGGGAUAUAUGUCCCAUCAAAUUACUGGCAGUAAGUUGCCAUCCAAUGGUCAAGUUUUCCGCAGUUUGUUUUACAAUAAACGUCAAGUUAAACUAGAAACCAGAGAUGUGGCAUGGCUCACAAUCCAGGAAGUUCUACUUUUUUAGCAGGGACCUAAGAUACCUACCAAACAUUUGAAAGAUUGUAUUGUGAAGCUUGAAAAACUUCACGAGGAGUGGAGAAAACUGCAAAAAAAUGCAACCAGAAGCGUAAGUCAAGCUCCAAGUAAAAAAGUGGAAGCUUUUAAGUCAAGCCUUGAUGACCUGUUUGAUAUUGCACUCCAGGACGCGCUGAAGAACACAAAUGAAGAAAGAUAGUUUUUGCUCCUUCAGAGACAAAAGGAACGUACUGGCUGCAUGGGAGAAGUUGAUAUAAAAUUCCUGCGAGCAGAAGAACGAAGAACACAGAGAAAAGCAGCUGAAACGAAUACGAAGAUGUAGAAAUUGAAUUUUUAAGCACAAGCAAUGCCUCAGAAGAAGGCACUUAUAGCUGUAGAGGACGAAGUCAAAGUUUCUGAAUUCAUUAUUACAGCUCUGGAAA